CUUUGGUCCAAUGAUUGGAUCCAUUAGAAUUACCUAGGGAAUUUUUAAACUAUGAAAUUCUGAGUUCCAUUCUAGAAGAUUCUGAUUCAAUAUCUUUAGGAUCUGAGAUGCAGUUGACUUUGGUACUGCCUUAGGCUGCAUCGAUAGAGGCCCGAUAGGGAAAGCAAGAUAUUCUCCAGCUUGAAACUCUGUCUCUAGGGAAGACACCCUGCUGCCCAGGAACAUUCAGAGCUAAGGGAUUGUAACACUACAGUAACCCCAUGCCCUAUAACAGGGAAAAGAUACUCACUCUAUUUAAUCUUCAGACCAAGUUUUAAGCAUCCAGCUGUC